rnacentral:ncRNA from 1 species
CAACAGGUUUGGUCCUAGCCUUUUUGUUAGUUUGUAGUUAACUUACACAUGCAAGAAUCCCCGAACCGGUGAAAAUGCCCUCCAACUCACACCUCAGUGAUUAAGAGGAGCGGGUAUUAAGCACACGCUAUGUAGCUCAAAAUACCUUGCUUAACACACCCCCAAGGGACACAGCAGUGAUAAAUAUUAAGCAAUGAACGAAAGUUUGACUAAGUUAAACUACACCAGAGUUGGUAAAUUUCGUGCCAGCCACCGCGGUCAUACGAAAAACCCAAAUUAACAAACCCCGGCGUAAAGCGUGUUUUAAGGUUUCCCCCCCCCCCCCAUAAAGUUAAAUGUUAUCUAUGCCGUAAAAAGCUAUAGCUAUAACAAGCCCUACAACGAAAGUGACUUUAAUCCCCUUGAAUACACGAAAGCUAGGUCCCAAACUGGGAUUAGAUACCCCACUAUGCCUAGCCGUAAACCUAGAUAGUUACAUAACUAAACUAUUCGCCAGAGAACUACAAGCAACAGCUUAAAACUCAAAGGACUUGGCGGUGCUUUAUACCCCCUAGAGGAGCCUGUUCUAUAAUCGAUAAACCCCGCUUCACCUCACCACCCUUUGCCAACUCAGCCUGUAUACCGCCAUCUUCAGCAAACCCUAAAAAGGUACAACAGUAAGCUCAAUAAUCCCCAUAAAAACGUUAGGUCAAGGUGUAGCCUAUAGGGUGGAAAGCAAUGGGCUACAUUUUCUUCUUAAAGAACACCACGAAAGCCUUUAUGAAAACUAAAGGUCGAAGGCGGAUUUAGCAGUAAAUUAAGAAUAGAGAGCUUAAUUGAACACGGCAAUGAAGCACGCACACACCGCCCGUCACCCUCCUCAAUUACUUGAAAAUCCUGUGCCCAUAGAUAAACACAACACACCUACAAGUACUAGAGGAGAUAAGUCGUAACAAGGUAAGUAUACUGGAAAGUGUGCUUGGAAAAUC